rnacentral:rRNA from 1 species
AGCGAACGCUGGCGGCAUGCUUAACACAUGCAAGUCGCACGGAUCUUUCGGGAUUAGUGGCGGACGGGUGAGUAACGCGUAGGGAUCUAUCCAUGGGUGGGGGACAACUCAGGGAAACUGGAGCUAAUACCGCAUGAUACCUGAGGGUCAAAGGCGCAAGUCGCCUGUGGAGGAAAUGCGUUCUAUAAGGGCGUUGGUGGGUWAAUUAUUACCAAGAGKAUGAUCGGUAAAUGGUUUGAGAAGAAGAUCAGCCACGCUGGUACUGAAACACGGCCAAMACUCCUACGAGAGACAGCCGGGCCAAAUAUUGGACWAUGGGCGAAAU